UUCGGGAACCAAACAUGAUGAAUACAAUGAGACCCCUUCUAUAAUGGGGCAUAUAUUUCUUUAUUUAACUAUAUAGACUAUAGACUAUCCAAAAGAGUGAAAAUUACAUUUAUGAUCUCAGCUAAUAUGGCUCAUANNNACAAACCCUUGGAAAAGCCAACGGGAGAAGAAAAAUAUGCGGGUAUGAAUUAUCAUGGUCAUCAUGUUUGGUUCCCGAAGCCAACCAAUUGUACAGCGGAAUGCUGCUGAAACAUCCAAUAUGGUGCAAGUCAUCAAGUUAGCUGUCUUGGAUAGGAACUAAUGCUAGUCUGCCUCCAUAUACAUCAGGGAGCUGGCUC
rnacentral:misc_RNA from 1 species